GUCAGGUUAAUCUAUUUAUGCACAUCAUCUGAUUUGGUCAUCAUAACACUAAGAAAUAGAUACUAUUAUCUCCAUUCUAGAGUCGAGGAAACUGGCUUAGAGAGAUUUGCCCGAAGUCUAUAGUGGUUAAAUAGUGGAGCUGGGGCUCAGCCUCAAGCAGUUCAACUCCUGAACCCAUACUGUUUACCAUGUCACCAUCCUGAGCAGCGAUUCUCUCCCAGGCAAGAUGUGAGCACUUUAUACAAGCCGGCAGCCUGUUUAAUCCUCACAACUCUGCAUCUUGGGCAUUCUCCUCCCAUUUAGACAUGAGGAAAUUGCAAUUCAGAGAGGAUAAAUUGCUUGUCUGAGGUUAAUCCUAAUCAGUGGCAUAGAUGGGAUUCAAAUCUAGGUCUGAAUCUAGGUCUAGUUGGCUCUCAAACUGAAUUAUUUCCCAUCACUCACCAGAAGAGUGUUUUCACAUGGUACCUUAUGUGCUUUCCGAGUUUAAGGGAAAGAUAAACUAUCUCACAGUUUUUGCUUAUCUGAACCUAUAGGAUUUGUCUUGGGCAAGAUGUGGAACAACCAGGAUUUCAUCAGUUCUCUCCUGAAGCUCUCCAGUGAUACAAUUUUCCCUGUAUCCCUCAGGAUCCCAUUGCAAUGGCUUUUGUUUUGUUUUUUGAGACAGGGUCUCGCUCUGUCACCCAGGCUGAAUGGUGUGUAGCACAAUCAUGGCUCACUGUAGCCUCAACCUCCUGGGCUCGUGAUCCCCCCACCUCAGCCUCCUGAGUAGCUAGGACUUCAGGUAUGUGCCACCAUGCCCGUGUAAUUUGAAGAAAAAAACAAAAACAAAAUCAAAGAACUUUUUUUU
rnacentral:lncRNA from 10 species